rnacentral:rRNA from 1 species
GACGAACGCUGGCGGCGUGCCUAAUACAUGCAAGUCGAACGAGAGCGCCCGGUGCUUGCACUGGUCAAUGUAGUGGCGAACGGGUGAGUAACACGUGGGUAACCUGCCCAUCAGAGGGGGAUAACAUACGGAAGCGGAUGCUAAAACGGCAUAGGUCUUCGAGCGGCGGGGCUGGAAGAGUAAUAGAGGCGCAGGCUGAUGCUGAGGGAUGGAGCCGCGGUGCGUGAGCGAGUUGGUGGGGGAACGGCUCACGAAGGCCGUAGGGGAUAACCGACCGGAGGGGGUGAACGGCCACAUUGGGACUGAGACACGGCCCAAACUCCGACGGGAGGCAGCAGUAGGGAAUCUUGCGCAAUGGGCGCAAGUCUGACGGAGCAACGCCGCGUGGGUGAAGAAGGUCUUCGGAUCGUAAAACUCUGUUGUUAGAGAAGAACAAGUGCAGGAGUAGCUGUUCGCGUCUUGACGGUAUCUAAACAGAAAGCCACGGCUAACUACGUG